rnacentral:rRNA from 1 species
UUUCGCAAUGCCCGAAAGGGUGACGAAGCGACGCCGCGUGUGGGAAGAAGGCCUUCGGGUUGUAAACCGCUGUUGGGAGUUAGGAAGUGUGGGAGUGUUAAUAGCGCUUCCACUUGACUAAAGCUCCAGAGGAAGCCACGGCUAACUCUGUGCCAGCAGCCGCGGUAAUACAGAGGUGGCAAGCGUUGUUCGGAAUUAUUGGGCGUAAAGAGCACGUAGGCGGCCCUGCAAGUCAGCUGUGAAAGCCUCCUGCUUAACGGGAGAAGUGCAGUUGAAACUACGGGGCUAGAGUGCGGAAGGGGAGAGUGGAACUUCUGGUGGAGCGGUGAAAUGCGUAGAUAUCAGAAAGAACACCGACGACGAAAGCGACUCUCUGGUCCGUAACUGACGCUGAGGUGCGAAAGCCAGGGGAGCAAACGGGAUUAGAUACCCCGGUAGUCCUGGCCGUAAACGAUGGGCACUAAGUAGAGGGGUUUU